GGCGUAGACAGUCACGUCGUUGUAGUGCAAUGAGCUUUGUUGGUCUCAUAGACUAAUGCCACAUCACAGUCGGAAGCUACUACCGCCGGUGACUGUGACAGAGAUGGAGAGGGAGAAGUAGAUGGAACUGGAUGAGAAGGAAGAUAGAAGAACAAAAAAAAAAACAAAAGAGUCAGAGAAGAAUAAUCCAAGAGCUUGUACAUAACUGUUAGUUAUGCUCAUGGAGCCUAUAUUGAUAAUAUACACACAGCACAACAACAACUCGAUAUGAGACCCGAGUUCAAUUAUACCACUACACUACCUAACGACCUAUCGUCAGUAUUAUUACUAGGUAGAUUGACCACCAAUAGCCAAACCUAGGAAGGCUUUGUAUUCCAUAGAAUUGAUACCAAGGAGUCGAUAUUCUGUUAUCUGCUGUGGGUGGCAAUGGAACGGAACCGACUGAACCGGUUAACCAAUAGGACGGAGACUCGGGUAUUUCCCUACAACGUGGUGAUUGUUGUCUUGAAAAUGGGCUAUUUAAAGAAGCAUGAUCAUGCUGUAUGAAGGGCAUGAUAUUACUUAUUCCCCCAUCCGCAUGGUUGAUGGUCGAAAAUGGCCAAAAUUCCUUGCAAAAAUUACCCCUCCAGCCAAACGUUCGUUACAGUUUGCAACAUGGAACCUUCUCCGACCUUCGAGCAUCGUCGGAGACCAGGCAAUCCGUUGAGGAGCAUGUGUCCAGCGCCAUCAUGGAUUUCCCCUAAAUGUGUAAUAUGGACAUGAGUGCUGGUGGUGCUGGUUGAGGAAGUCGUCUGGUGUACCUGUACCUGGGAAUAGGUGAUCGGAGGGCAGGCGGAAUGGAUGUACAGUAGAUAAUUGGGUUUUAUUACAAGAAUUCAUCG
rnacentral:sRNA from 1 species